rnacentral:misc_RNA from 1 species
AACGCAUAUUGCGCUCUCCGGUGAUCCGGGGAGCAUGCCUGUUUGAGGAGUCUUGUCAACCAUCCUAGCUUCUGCUCUGGCCGUACGGCCGGUUGCAUCGGCUAGAACUCUUUAUUGAAAUGGACAAGAUUGAUUUGAGCUUUUUUCCGGCGUGAGUCGGAUAGCUCUAAAUACAAAUAAACCACUACUCCUAGGAUUUCGCCGUUUUCCACGGUCGAGCCCCAUCCACAAGGAGACUUGGGAACUUUCGCGACUUGUACGGUGUGCGCUUGCGUACCUGUGCAGGAGCAUGAGCAGAUCGAUAAAACUUCUCGCUCAAAGUUUUCCUUAGCCUUGUUAAGAUAUAUUUCUCUCGUAAAAAUGUUUUAACUACUAAGGAAGAUGAGAAGACAAUACAAGAUCUGAGCGUGUGUGUUAGUGCCCCGAGGCUCUGAGGAAGGGACCCGGCCGAGGAUUAUGACGGCGACGAUUCUAGUUCUAUUCUCCUCAAAUCAAGCAAGAGUACCCGCUGAACUUAA